UAGGGAAUCUUCCACAAUGGGCGCAAGCCUGAUGGAGCAACACCGCGUGAGUGAAGAAGGGUUUCGGCUCGUAAAGCUCUGCUGUUAAAGAAGAACACGUAUGAGAGUAACUGUUCAUACGUUGACGGUAUUUAACCAGAAAGUCACGGCUAACUACGUGCCAG
rnacentral:rRNA from 1 species